AGCACCGGCUAACUCCGUGCCAGCAGCCGCGGUAAUACGGAGGGUGCGAGCGUUAAUCGGAAUUACUGGGCGUAAAGCGCAUGCAGGUGGUUUGUUAAGUCAGAUGUGAAAGCCCGGGGCUCAACCUCGGAAUUGCAUUUGAAACUGGCAGACUAGAGUACUGUAGAGGGGGGUAGAAUUUCAGGUGUAGCGGUGAAAUGCGUAGAGAUCUGAAGGAAUACCGGUGGCGAAGGCGGCCCCCUGGACAGAUACUGACACUCAGAUGCGAAAGCGUGGGGAGCAAACAGGAUUAGAUACCCUGGUAGUCCACGCCGUAAACGAUGUCUACUUGGAGGUUGUGGCCUUGAGCCGUGGCUUUCGGAGCUAACGCGUUAAGUAGACCGCCUGGGGAGUACGGUCGCAAGAUUAAAACUCAAAUGAAUUGACGGGGGCCCGCACAAGCGGUGGAGCAUGUGGUUUAAUUCGAUGCAACGCGAAGAACCUUACCUACUCUUGACAUCCAGAGAACUUUCCAGAGAUGGAUUGGUGCCUUCGGGAACUCUGAGACAGGUGCUGCAUGGCUGUCGUCAGCUCGUGUUGUGAAAUGUUGGGUUAAGUCCCGCAACGAGCGCAACCCUUAUCCUUGUUUGCCAGCGAGUAAUGUCGGGAACUCCAGGGAGACUGCCGGUGAUAAACCGGAGGAAGGUGGGGACGACGUCAAGUCAUCAUGGCCCUUACGAGUAGGGCUACACACGUGCUACAAUGGCGCAUACAGAGGGCGGCCAACUUGCGAAAGUGAGCGAAUCCCAAAAAGUGCGUCGUAGUCCGGAUUGGAGUCUGCAACUCGACUCCAUGAAGUCGGAAUCGCUAGUAAUCGUGGAUCAGAAUGCCACGGUGAAUACGUUCCCGGGCCUUGUACACACCGCCCGUCACACCAUGGGAGUGGGCUGCAAAAGAAGUAGGUAGUUUAACCUUCGGGGGGACGCUUACCACUUUGUGGUUCAUGACUGGGGUGAAGUCGUAACAAGGUAGCGCUAGGGGAACCUGGCGCUGGAUCACCUCCUUA
rnacentral:rRNA from 1 species